rnacentral:rRNA from 1 species
GACAGAGGAUGCAAGCGUUAUCCGGAAUGAUUGGGCGUAAAGCGUCUGUAGGUGGCUUUUUAAGUCCGCCGUCAAAUCCCAGGGCUCAACCCUGGACAGGCGGUGGAAACUACCAAGCUGGAGUACGGUAGGGGGCAGAGGGAAUUUCCGGUGGAGCGGUGAAAUGCGUAGAUAUAGGAAGGAACACCAGUGGCGAAGGCGACCACCUGGACUGAUACUGACACUGAGGUGCGAAAGCGUGGGGAGCAAACAGG